UACGUAGGGAGCGAGCGUUGUCCGGAUUCAUUGGGCGUAAAGAGCUCGUAGGCGGCUUGGCAAGUCGGGUGUGAAAACUCCAGGCUCAACCUGGAGACGCCACCCGAUACUGCCAUGGCUAGAGUCCGGUAGGGGACCACGGAAUUCCUGGUGUAGCGGUGAAAUGCGCAGAUAUCAGGAGGAACACCGGUGGCGAAGGCGGGUCUCUGGGCCGAUACUGACACUGAGGAGCGAAAGCGUGGGGAGCGAACAGG
rnacentral:rRNA from 1 species